GACCCAGUGGCGGAUGGUCCGCAUCUCCGUCUCUUUACAGCAUUUCGAGGGAAUCCUCUGUAAGGAGAAGUCGCCCGUUCGAUUCGGGCCUGGGUCA